AGCGAACGUUUGCGGCGGGCUUAACACAUGCAAGUCGAACGAGAAUCCCUUCGGGGAGGAAAGUGGCGCACGGGUGCGUAACACGUGGAUAACCAACCCAUUGGUUUGGGACAACACCGGGAAACUGGUGCUAAUACCAGAUGUGUCGCAGCUGUCUUCAGGCGGUUGCGAGAAAGGCCCGCAAGGGUCGCCAACGGACGGGUCCGCGUCCCAUCAGCUAGUUGGUGAGGUAAUGGCUCACCAAGGCAAAGACGGGUAGCUGGUCUGAGAGGAUGAUCAGCCACACUGGAACUGAGACACGGUCCAGACUCCUACGGGAGGCAGCAGUGGGGAAUCUUAGGCAAUGGGCGCAAGCCUGAUCUAGCCAUGCCGCGUGAUCGAUGAAGGCCUUAGGGUUGUAAAGAUCUUUCAGUGGGGAAGAUAAUGACUGUACCCACAGAAGAAGCCCCAGCUAACUCCGUG
rnacentral:rRNA from 1 species